AACGAACGCUGGCGGCGCGUCUUAAGCAUGCAAGUCGAACGGCAAGAGAGAAGCUUGCUUCUCUCCUAGAGUGGCGGACUGGUGAGGAACACGUGGGUAAUCUACCCUUAAGAUGGGGAUAGCUGCUAGAAAUAGCAGGUAAUACCGAAUACACUCAGUUUUUCAUAAGAAGGAUUGAGGAAAGGAAGCUACGGCUUCGCUUGAGGAUGAGCUUGCGUCCCAUUAGCUUGUUGGUGAGGUAACGGCUCACCAAGGCGACGAUGGGUAUCCGGCCUGAGAGGGUGAUCGGACACAUUGGGACUGAGAUACGGCCCAAACUCCUACGGGAGGCAGCAGCUAAGAAUAUUCCGCAAUGGACGAAAGUCUGACGGAGCGACGCCGCGUGGAUGAAGAAGGCUGAAAAGUUGUAAAAUCCUUUUGUUGAUGAAGAAUAAGGGUGAGAGGGAAUGUUCAUCUGAUGACGGUAAUCCGCGAAUAAGCCCCG
rnacentral:rRNA from 1 species